UACGUAGGGUGCAAGCGUUGUCCGGAAUUAUUGGGCGUAAAGAGCUCGUAGGCGGUGUGUCGCGUCGGCCGUGAAAACUGUGGCUUAACCAUGGGCUUGCGGUCGAUACGGGCAUCACUGGAGUUCGGCAGGGGAGACUGGAAUUCCUGGUGUAGCGGUGAAAUGCGCAGAUAUCAGGAGGAACACCGGUGGCGAAGGCGGGUCUCUGGGCCGAUACUGACGCUGAGGAGCGAAAGCGUGGGGAGCGAACAGG
rnacentral:rRNA from 1 species